rnacentral:rRNA from 1 species
UAAUACGUAGGGAGCAAGCGUUGUCCGGAAUCAUUGGGCGUAAAGCGCGCGUAGGCGGCCCUGUAAGUCCGUUGUGAAAGUCAAAGGCUCAACCUUUGAAAGCCGAUGGAUACUGCAGGGCUAGAGUCCGGAAGAGGCGAGUGGAAUUCCUGGUGUAGCGGUGGAAUGCGCAGAUAUCAGGAGGAACACCAAUAGCGAAGGCAGCUCGCUGGGACGGUACUGACGCUAAGGCGCGAAAGCGUGGGGAGCGAACAGGA